rnacentral:rRNA from 2 species
GAUUUCUGGGCUCAAGAAUUUGGCCGGCCACGGUUUCGUGUGUUAGUGCUUUGUUCUGUGUCCAUCCUUCCAAUCGCCAUUGGCUCUUCUUCAUUGAUUGGUCAGUGGUAUUGGAUCUUUUACUUUGAAAAAAUUAGAGUGUUUCAAGCAGGCUUUAUGCUAUGAAUACAUUAGCAUGGAAUAAUAAUUUAGGACUUCGGUUCUAUUUUGUUGGUUUCUAGGACUGAAGUAAUGAUUGAUAGGGAUAGUUGGGGGUGCUAGUAUUCAGCGGCCAGAGGUGAAAUUCUCGGAUUCGCUGAAGACUAACUUAUGCGAAAGCAUU